ACGUAGGGUCCAAGCGUUAUCCGGAAUUACUGGGCGUAAAGAGUUGCGUAGGUGGCAUAGUAAGUAGAUAGUGAAAGCGUGUGGCUCAACCAUACAUCCAUUAUCUAAACUGCUAAGCUUGAGAACGAGAGAGGUAGAUGGAAUUCCUGGUGUAGGAGUAAUAUCCGUAGAUAUCAGGAGGAACACCGAUGGCGUAAGCAGUCUACUGGCUCGUUUCUGACACUAAGGCACGAAAGCGUGGGGAGCAAACAGGA
rnacentral:rRNA from 1 species